rfam:Hordeum vulgare subsp. vulgare, WGS project CAJW01000000 data, contig: morex_contig_368709
AUCCUACUCCCUCGGUCCCAAAAUUCUUGUGUUAGAUUUGUCUAGAUAAGUAUGUAUCUAGUCACAUUUUAAUAUUUAGAUACAUUCAUUUCUUGACAAACCUAAGACAAUAAUUUUGAAACGGAAGGAGUAUAUU